GACGAACGCUGGCGGCGUGCUUAACACAUGCAAGUCGAACGGUGAAGGGACCAGCUUGCUGGUUCUGGAUGAGUGGCGAACGGGUGAGUAACACGUGAGUAACCUGCCCCCUUCUUCUGGAUAACCGCAUGAAAGUGUGGCUAAUACGGGAUAUUCUGGGUCUGUCGCAUGGCGGGCCCGGGAAAGAUAUUGCUUCGGUGGGGGAUGGGCUCGCGGCCUAUCAGCUUGUUGGUGGGGUGAUGGCCUACCAAGGCGGUGACGGGUAGCCGGCCUGAGAGGGUGGACGGUCACACUGGGACUGAGACACGGCCCAGACUCCUACGGGAGGCAGCAGUGGGGAAUAUUGCACAAUGGGCGCAAGCCUGAUGCAGCGACGCCGCGUGAGGGAUGGAGGCCUUCGGGUUGUAAACCUCUUUCGCCAGUGAAGCAGGCCUGCUCCUUGUGGGUGGGUUGACGGUAGCUGGAUAAGAAGCGCCGGCUAAUUACGUG
rnacentral:rRNA from 1 species